rnacentral:misc_RNA from 1 species
GAUGAAGAACGUAGCGAAAUGCGAUAAGUAAUGUGAAUUGCAGAAUUCAGUGAAUCAUCGAAUCUUUGAACGCACAUUGCGCCCGCCAGUAUUCUGGCGGGCAUGCCUGUUCGAGCGUCAUUUCAACCCUCAAGACCCCUUCGGGGGACUUGGUGUUGGGGACCGGCACAGGGGCCUGCCUGCUUGUCUUGCAGCGCCCUCGCCGCCCCCGAAAUGAAUUGGCGGCCUCGUCGCGGCCUCCCCUGCGUAGUAGCACAAACCUCGCAACGGGAACGUGACGGCGGCCACUGCCGUAAAACAACCCAAUUUUAUUAGAGUUGACCUCGAAUCGGGUAGGAAUACCCGCUGAACUUAAGCAUAUCAAUAAGCGGAGGA